rnacentral:misc_RNA from 1 species
GGGCCUGGAUGGGCGGCC